rnacentral:rRNA from 1 species
AUUGAACGCUGGCGGCAUGCUUUACACAUGCAGGUCGAACGGUAACAGGCCUUCGGGCGCUGACGAGUGGCGAACGGGUGAGUAAUGCAUCGGAACGUGCCCAGUCGUGGGGGAUAACUACUCGAAAGAGUGGCUAAUACCGCAUACGAUCUGCGGAUGAAAGCGGGGGACCUUCGGGCCUCGCGCGAUUGGAGCGGCCGAUGUCAGAUUAGGUAGUUGGUGGGGUAAAGGCUCACCAAGCCAACGAUCUGUAGCUGGUCUGAGAGGACGACCAGCCACACUGGGACUGAGACACGGCCCAGACUCCUACGGGAGGCAGCAGUGGGGAAUUUUGGACAAUGGGCGCAAGCCUGAUCCAGCAAUGCCGCGUGCAGGAAGAAGGCCUUCGGGUUGUAAACUGCUUUUGUACGGAACGAAAUGGUCCUGGCUAAUAUCCGGGGCUAAUGACGGUACCGUAAGAAUAAGCACCGGCUAACUACGUGCCAGCAGCCGCAGUAAUAC